AAUAUUUCACAAUGGAGGGAACUCUGAUGCAGCAACGCCGCGUGAGUGAAGAAGGUUUUCUGAUCGUAAAGCUCUGUCCUUGGGGAAGAAGGGAGCCGUAAGGCUUCUUUACGGUACCCAUGGAGGAAGCCCCGGCUAACUCCGAGCCAGCAGCCGCGGUAAUACGUAGGGGUCAAGCGUUGGCCGGAAUUAUUGGGCGUACAGGGUGCGUAGGCGGCCCUUUAAGUCAGAUGUGAAAGCCCACGGCUUAACCGUGGGACUGCAUUUGAAACUGGAGGGCUUGAGUGUCGGAGAGGGCAGUGGAAUUCCAAGUGUAGCGGUGGAAUGCGUAGAUAUUGGGAGGAACACCAGUGGCGAAGGCGACUGCCUGACGAUAACUGACGCUGAGGCACGAAAGCUAGGGGAGCAAACA
rnacentral:rRNA from 1 species